AUAGACUUCAUAGUUGGAGUUCAAUAAAAAAAAAAAAAUAAAUAAAAAAAAAUCUAAAAAUAUUUAAAACAUUUCCUAAUGCAUAGGAGAUGAUUAAAUUAUUAUUAUUAUUAAUAUUAUUAUUAUUAUUAUUAUUAUUAUUAUUAUUGCUGGGUUGUAAAAAGCCUUUUUUUUUUUUCUUUUUCUCACAAACAUAUUUUCAUAAGACCACUGAACAAUGUGUCAUAUGUACAGUCUUUUUAUAAUUUGAUGUAUGAUUUUAUUUUCAUUGUCCACAAAGAAGAAUCAAAUAAAGCUCUUUUUUGAUGAAUUACAUCUGACCUCUUUCAGAGUAGUUCUUUCAUUCUGAGAAAAAACGCACAUCAUACUCCAUUUAUGAUAAGCAAUAGUUCCACUGGCAUCACUAAAACAUCACAAAACUCAAUAAAGCUUCAAGAUUAUUACAACUCUAAACAGUGUUUCACAAAUACAUUUAAGUUGAAUAGUUUAGACUAAAUUGACUAGACAAUGUUCCUGUCUCAGUUAUAAGGUGCUUUAUGUCUGAUCUGGCUGUUAGAAAGACUUUUGUCAGUGCAAAUUAAUGUAGAUUUAUUCAGCCAUUUUAAAUAAUAGUUUGACAUGAAUAAAUGUAAUAAUUUAGAUAAUGCAGGCAGACAGGGGAAACUAAAACUCAAUGACAAUAAAACAGAACAUACAUGUUAUAUCACCAAGCUCUAAUCUGUUAAAUGAGAUUAUAAGACUUAAAGAAAUUAAGAUAUUAUAAACUGUAACGGAGAUCCACUGGAGGCAAGCCGUUAAGAACUCAAGUGCAGUUUUAUUUAACAAACUAAAUCAUACAAGAAUCCAAACAUAAAAGAAAGACUUGACUUGGCUUUGACUUGAACUUAGCAAACAAGGAACAGGAACAAACUCACCAAACAGAGGUACAGGGAACAAUGCAUGACCAAGACACAUGGCAAACACGAGGGUUUGCUAAAGACAUAACAAGACAUGCCUGAAAGUGAUUAAACCAAUGAACCAAUGAAAACAUGGGACACAUGACAAGGGAGCACAUGGCAGGAUCACAUGAUACACAUUUAGCCAUUCUUGAAAAUGGCAAAAGACCCAGCAGCUCGGGCUGAGUCAGCAGGGAACAGUCAAGGAAGCAAAAUUGGUAAGAAAAUGCAGAUGGGAUCCGGAAAAUUCCACGAGCCUGGACUCGAACUUAGGAUUCUUUAUACUCAACUGCAUCAAAAGGUGUCACUGAAAUUUGCCUUAAGACAGAUACCACGGAAUAUAUCAGCAUUCCUGGUCAUCCUACGGUCCUUCCGUUAGAGGUUGCCCUAACAAUGCUUGCUAACAAGGACCCCAGCAUUCCACAGAUAGUUCAGCUGCUGGAGUGACAGGACCAGCUCAGCUUCUACAUCAUGGUCUUGGAACGCCCCUCACACUGCAAGGAUCUGUUUGAUUUCCUGGAGCAUCACGGAGGCAUCCUUCAGUGAGGACAUAGCAUGACUUAGUCGGCGUUCUGACAGAACCUGAAAGCGCUGGACUUAAACAACAUGAACGAAGGUCUUACGGGUGCGGAACGACAUAAGGG